CAACAUGAUGAAUCCAUGAUAGGGACAUCUUAUACCCACAGUUGGUAAAUGAUGCGAAUUUGGCUCGGUAUUUUAGUAGAUGCUUCGAGUUUUCUGAAU
rnacentral:snoRNA from 1 species